rnacentral:rRNA from 1 species
AUUGAACGCUGGCGGCAGGCCUAACACAUGCAAGUCGAACGAGUGGCGGACGGGUGAGUAAUGUCUGGGAAACUGCCUGACGGAGUGGGAUAACUACUGGAAACGGUAGCUAAUACAGCAUACCAUCAGAUGUGCCCAGAUGGGAUUAGCUAGCUGGUGGGGUAACGGCGCACCAAGGCUACGAUCCCUAGCUGGUCUGAGAGGAUGAACAGCCACACUGGAACUUAGACAAGGUCCAGACUCCCACGUGAGGCAGGAGGGGAGAAUAUUGGACAAUGGGCGCAAGCCUGAUACACCCAUGCCGCGUGUAUGAAUAAGGCCUUCGGGUUGUAAAGUACUUUCAGCGUGGAGGCGUUACCCGCAGAAGAAGCACCGGCUAACUCCGUGCCAGCAGCCGCGGUAAUAC